rnacentral:lncRNA from 1 species
CACAAAUGCUGGAUUCUUGGCAAGGAAUAUGGUACUUUGACUUUGCUUUUGCCUAGUUCCUCCAAGAAGUUUUGUAGCCAAAUCAUCUCCUUUGAAGCUUCUGACACUGCAACAUACUCUACUUCUGUAGUAGAUAAAGACAGUGUCUUCUACAGGUUGGAACCCCUUGAUACGGCAGUACCACCAAAGUGUAAACAAAACCAGUGGUGCUAUUUCUACAGUCAGCAUCUCCGAACAAAUUAGCAUCAACAAACCCCCGUAACUCCAGGCUUUCUCAGGUGAAACACAAACAUGAUUCUAUGGAGCCUUUUAGGUACCUCAAAAUCCAUUUCACAGCCUCCCAAUGUUGUCUUCCUGGGUUACUCAUGUAUCUACUUAUAGCUCCCACCACAUGGACGAUGUCUGGCCUUGUGCAACCAAAGCAUUCAUUAGAUAAUCGAUAGCUGAAGCAUAAGGAACCUUAUCCAUGUAAUCGUAUUCCUCCUUUGUUUUAGGUAACUGAUCUUUGCUUAGUCUGAAGUGACUUCCUAAUGGUGUACUGACUGGUUUGGCCUGGUCCAUGUUAAAUCUACUAAGUACCAAUUUCAUGUACUUAGCCUGUGAGAGUCUCAACGUACCCUUGACUCUGUCUCUGAUGAUCUUAAUACCAUGAAUUUGUUUGGCAGCUCCCAAAUCCUUCAUUGUACUGUCUUGACAAUUGUUUCUUCAGAUUGUUGAUCUCCACAAUGUUGGACCCUGCAAUGAGCAUAUCAUCCACGUAUAAUAAUAGAAUAAUAUAAGAGUAGUCAAAAUGCCUGACAUAGCAACAGUGAUCUUCCUAACAUUUGAUAUACCCUGAGCUGCAUAUGAAGUUGUCAAAUUUCUUGUACCAUUGUCUAGGAGCUUGUUUCAAACCGUACAAGCUCUUUAUUAGUUUGCAAACCAAAUUCUCUUUGCCUUGCACUACGAACCCUUCAGGCUAGUGCAUGUAGAUGUCUUCUUUUAGAUCCCCAUGAAGAAAAGAUAUUUUCACAUCUAAUUAUUCAAGAUGCAAGUCUUCAGUAGCAACCAUUGCUAAUGCUAGCCUGAUGGUCGUGAUUUUUACAACAGGAGAGAAGAUCUUGGAGUAAUCAAUGCCCUUUUCUGCUGAAAUCCUUUUACAACAAGCCUUGCCUUGUAUCUCUUGCUACCAUCGUGCUCAGUUUUUACAAAGUACACCCACUUGUUUUGCUAAGCCUUUUUCCCAGGUGGAAGAUCUGUCAACUCCUAUGUCUGAUUUUCUAGCAGGGAAUCCGUCUCAUCCUUCAUGGCCAACUCCCACAUGCUCGAAUUCUCAUCUUGCAAGGUUUCUUCAUAACUUUGCGAUUUUCCACCAUCUGUCAAUAGAAUGUAAUUCAAUGUUAGUGAAAAUCGUUGUAGGGGUCAAAUAUUCCUAGUAGACCUCUGAAUUGUUGUAGUAGGUGUGGAUGGUUUUGGAUCUGACUGUGGAGUAAUAAGAAUGGAUGCACUAGGCCCACUCUCACUGUCACUCAUGUCUCCACAUUGCACAGUGACCUCUGAAAGGUCAUCCAACUUAUGAACUCAUGUUGUUGAGGAGUUGUAUCAGCAACUGUGUUAGGCUUGUCCUUGUACAUAACUUUCUCAUUGAGCAUCACAUUUCUACUCCUAAUAAUCUUUCAACUCUGCUUAUCCUAGAAUCGAUAACCAAAUACCUCGUCUCCAUAACCAAUAAAAUAGCAUUUUAUUGAUUUUGCUUUAAGUUUGCUGUGAGUAUUGGAAUCAGCAAGAACAUAAGAAACACAGCCAAAGGUUCUUAAGUGGGAAAGCUUAACCUCUUUUCCGCUCCAAGCCUCCUCAGGUAGUCUAUACUCCAAUGGGACCGAUGGUCCACGAUUGAUCAGGUAAAUUGCAGUGUUAAAUGCAUCUCCCCAGAAUGUAGUUGGUAGCCCUACAUGCAACCUCAUACUCCUAACGUGCUCAUUAAUGGUUUUGUUCAUGUGCUCAGUGACACCAUUUUGUUGUGGUGCCCUAGGGAUGGUCUUCUCCAUUCUGAUACCAUGAACUGCACAGUACUUCCUGAAUCAUCUAUCAAUGUAUUCUCCACCAUUAUCUCACCUUAAGCAUUUCAGCUUCAAGUUUGUCUCUUUCUCAACUAGGGCCUUCCACUUUUUGAGCACAUCAAAUACAUCAGAUUUAAAUUUCAGAAAAUAGACCUACACCUUUCUACUGUGAUCGUCGAUGAGUGUGACGUAGUAUCGAGAACCUCCAAAAGACGUCAUUGGAGAGGGUCCCCAUACAUCCGUGGGCACAAAAUCUAGCUUUUUCGAUUUUUAAAGCUCUGCCACUCUUCAAGGAACUGGCCUUCUUCUGCUUCCCAAGUAUACAGCUCUCACACAUACCCAAAUCAAUUAACUUUAGCUCUAGUAGCUUGCCUUUUGACAAAAGUUCCUUCAUGCCUUUUUGACUCAUAUGGCCAAGCGUGCAGUGCCACAACUCUGCGGUGUUAUCUACUGUACUGGUAGCAAUAGUGUCAUUAGAACUGUCAGUCAUGUACAGAGUACCAGUCUUCUUCCCUCGAGCCAAUACUAGUGCUCCUUUAGUGACCUUCUAGAUGCUAUCUAAGAACAUUACUGAGUGACCGGAGACGUCGAGUUGUCCUACAGAUAUUAAGUUUUUCUUCAACUUGGGAACGUGUCUAACCUUCUGCAAUGUCCACAUGUUGCCAUUAGAAAGUGCAAUGUUAAUAUCACCAAUUCCCACAACGUUCAAUGCUUAUCCAUCAGCAAAGUACACUUUUUCGAAAUCACCGGCAACGUAGUCUCUCAUGAUCUCCCGAUGAGAAGAGGUGUGAAUGGAUGCCCCUGAAUCCAGUAUCCAAUCAUCAACAGAGCUGUAAACUACAAGUAGUAACCCAUCUUGUAUUUCUUCAGUUACUGUGUUCGCGUCGUCAGUAUCUGUAUUCUUCGAAUUUCUGUAGUUUUUCUUUAUGUGGCCUAUUUUGCCACAGUUCCAGCAGGUUGCCUGUUGUCCAGGCCUUGAUUUUCUCCUGCUCAUGUUCCUUGACUUUGAUCUUCCUCUGUUUGAGUUCUUGUCAUGUGACCUCUCAUGAGCAUCAACAUUUAGAAUGGAACUUGAUCCCAAGGUUUCACCAAAGUCCCUCCUGCGUACCUCCUCAGCCAAAUCAAAUCAUGAAUAUCAUCAUAGUUUAAUUUCAUCUUACCAGCAGAGUUAGUAACAGCCAUUCUCAUGGCUUCCCAACUAUUUGGCAGUGAUGCCAACAAUAUCAGAGCCCGAAUCUCAUUCUCAAAUUCAAUUUCAAUAGAUGAUAAUUGAUUAGUGAUGGUAUUAAACUCAUUCAGAUGUUGGGCAACAGAUGCACCUUCUACCAUCUUCAGAUUGAAUAAUUUUUUCAUCAAGUGCACUUUGUUGUUAGCAGAUGAUUUUUCAUACAUACCUUACAAAGCCGCCAUGAGGUCUGUAGUGGUCUUCUCCUUGGUGAUGUUGUGUGCAACUGAUCUUGAAAGUGUCAGACAAAUGACUCCCAAGACCUGUCGAUCUAAUAGCUUCCAAUCAGCAUCUGCCAUGUUGUUUGGUUUCUUCCCCAAUAGUGAAAGGUGAAGUUUCUUGCCAUAAAGGUAGUCCUCUAUUUGCAUCUUCUGGCAUCCAUAAUAUGUGCCAUCAAACUUCUCAAUACCAGAUACCUUCACUUCUUCUCCAGCCAUCAUUUUUUCUCGUAGACCCAAACCCAAUGGCAGUUGAAUAAAACUAGGAGAAGAUAAUCACAGCACAAGAAUUCACAAACUGCUGAGGAUUUUAUUACCUGAGGAAUUACACACACACACGGCCUUUUGAAGUUCUCACACCAAAAAGGAAAUAAAAGAAUACAUAUACAGAAACAUGUAAAAAACAGAAGCCCUAAUAUUCUUGGACUUGGACUUGGAUAGACAUGAU